GGGAGAAAGCAGGGGACCUUCGGGCCUUGCGCUAUCAGAUGAGCCUAGGUCGGAUUAGCUAGUUGGUGGGGUAAUGGCUCACCAAGGCGACGAUCCGUAACUGGUCUGAGAGGAUGAUCAGUCACACUGGAACUGAGACACGGUCCAGACUCCUACGGGAGGCAGCAGUGGGGAAUAUUGGACAAUGGGCGAAAGCCUGAUCCAGCCAUGCCGCGUGUGUGAAGAAGGUCUUCGGAUUGUAAAGCACUUUAAGUUGGGAGGAAGGGCAGUAAAUUAAUACUUUGCUGUUUUGACGUUACCGACAGAAUAAGCACCGGCUAACUCUGUGCCAGCAGCCGCGGUAAUACAGAGGGUGCAAGCGUUAAUCGGAAUUACUGGGCGUAAAGCGCGCGUAGGUGGUUCGUUAAGUUGGAUGUGAAAUCCCCGGGCUCAACCUGGGAACUGCAUUCAAAACUGACGAGCUAGAGUAUGGUAGAGGGUGGUGGAAUUUCCUGUGUAGCGGUGAAAUGCGUAGAUAUAGGAAGGAACACCAGUGGCGAAGGCGACCACCUGGACUGAUGCUGACACUGAGGUGCGAAAGCGUGGGGAGCAAACAGGAUUA
rnacentral:rRNA from 1 species